UACGGAGGAUGCGAGCGUUAUCCGGAUUUAUUGGGUUUAAAGGGUGCGUAGGCGGGAUGCCAAGUCAGCGGUAAAAAUGCGGUGCUCAACGCCGUCGAGCCGUUGAAACUGGCGUUCUUGAGUGGGCGAGAAGUAUGCGGAAUGCGUGGUGUAGCGGUGAAAUGCAUAGAUAUCACGCAGAACUCCGAUUGCGAAGGCAGCAUACCGGCGCCCUACUGACGCUGAGGCACGAAAGCGUGGGGAUCAAACAGG
rnacentral:rRNA from 1 species